rfam:Weissella cibaria strain MG1 contig000016, whole genome shotgun sequence.
AUGAUUGAUAGAGGUUGCAAUCGACAUGAGUAACUUUGUUGAGCCGGCACGGGCGACGACGCAAAGCGAAAGGGGACAUUGCCGAAACGAUUCAGCGCAACUGAGUCGUUGGGCCUUUGGUUAAGAGCCAUCGGACUGUCGCUGUGAAAACAGCGGGGAGCUAUCGUCACA